GGGGAUGUUACGGAUUCGACAGGUAUAGGUCGAGCUUUUGACGCGCUUCGUAGGUUACGGCUACGCAAAAACGUUCCAGUUAAAUAUAACUGCAAAAACAAACAAUAAUACUUUAGCUUUCGCUGCGUAAAACCAGCUAGCUAAGAUCCUCUUGGUAUCGUCCAUGUACUCAAGUAAGGGUCUCAAACUUAGUGGACUACGCCGUGACCUUCCACCUGGAGGAAUCGGAAGAGACUAAUCAGGUUAGCGUUGUGUAACGCCUGUUAAACGGCUAACACGAGGCGAACUCUAAAUUGUUUAACUAUGAGCGUAGACUUGGAAGUGCCGAUAUAUUUGGACGCGGGUUCGACUCCCGCCAUCUCCAUAC
rfam:Jeotgalibaca sp. PTS2502, complete genome.